UACGUAGGGUGCGAGCGUUAAUCGGAAUUACUGGGCGUAAAGCGUGCGCAGGCGGUCAGUUAAGUUCGUUGUGAAAGCCCCGGGCUCAACCUGGGAACUGCAAUGGAAACUGGCGGGCUUGAGUGUGGCAGAGGGGGGUGGAAUUCCGCGUGUAGCAGUGAAAUGCGUAGAGAUGCGGAGGAACACCGAUGGCGAAGGCAGCCCCCUGGGCCAACACUGACGCUCAGGCACGAAAGCGUGGGGAGCAAACAGG
rnacentral:rRNA from 1 species